rnacentral:lncRNA from 1 species
CUGGAAACCUUCAGAAUCUGCUGGCCCCCAACCCUCCCUGGGGACCCCUGUGGCCUGUCUCACCAGAGCACUCUUCUGUCUGUAGAUGUCUCAGCGGCUCUACAAGGGAGUCCCAUUUCAGGUGUGGGGCUGGGCAUGGUCACUCCUGCUGGAUGUCUAGAAGAUGGAAACUAAGGACCUAGGAAAAUGCCAGAUACAGCCUUUCCACCCUCAUCCAGAGCAGGACAAACAGGCCAGGUGGUGUCAGGAGCCCAGGUCUCCAGCUGGAGGGAACGUCAACCCUGCAGUGGGAGCAGGGGCCCAUCGCACAUCCUAGGCACAGAUGCUAAUGUAGGCACUGCAGGGCCUAUGACCUGGUGCACAACUUUAGACACCAUCAUCCUGGAGCAGCACUGCACCCUCACUAGCCAGAGUGUUGACAUCCUCAAGGCCAGGGCCACAUUCAAGACUUUGGACUUCAUUGAUGCACUUGUGCUGAGCAAGGUGGGCAUCUCUGGUAUCUUAAUUCAGGAGGCAGAAUACAGCUUGAGAUCAGGUGUCUGAUCAAAGAACUUGAACUUGAUCUGGAGGGCUCUGGGGAGCCAUGGAAGGUUCUGGAUAAAGGAGGGUCAGUCAGCCACGUUUUAGAAAUGACUGUGGAAGUCUUCCUGGAAGGAGUGAACAAGAGCCAGGAGACCAGGGAGGGAGCUUGUGGGGCAGGUCUGGAGAUGGCAAGGGAGGGAUCCUGCUUGGAUGAAAAGUCUUCAGGGACCAUCUCAGGUUACACUCAGGUGCCCUCUGAGUUAGUGUGUUCUAAGUAAGGGGUUUUAAGCCUCCUAUUGUGGCUUAUCCCUGACAGUGUCAGCACCAGCUCCCCUAACCCCACAGCUCAGGGUCCACUUUGCUUCUGUAUCCUGCAUGUUCCCCUUUCCUGCUGAAAAGCAGAUUCCCCAAUGAGCAGCAGAAUCCUGUUUCUCCCUGCAGGCCCCUCUGCUCCAUAUGAGUGGUGUUUUGUGGGAUUCCUCCCUUGGUUUUGGAUGAGAACACCCUUUCCCGUUCCACAGGGAUUGUUUCUGUGGACCUUACCCCAGGUUUUCCCCUGGUCGGGCACCGGGCAGGUGGGGGUGGUGGGACCAACUCUUUAGAACCAGCAAUGUCAAACAGAUCCCACUCAGGGGAAGUUCAUGCUAAGUGUCAUGGGUCCUAUGGAAUUUUCUGAAGCUUUCCUUUUCUCCCCCACCUUCAACCAGCUUAUCUGAUCUCCUGGGAUCUCUACUAGGAUGCUGGCAGCCCAGCCAGCUGGUCUGGCCCUGGACGUGCCUUCAGGUGCUGGUUAUGCUUUAUGACCUGUGUUGUGAUCCUGGUCAGAGUAAAACAUUCCAUGGGAACUCGGGCUGUGAGAAACAUCCUAACCACCUGACUGCAGAAACAUCCUUAUCACAUCCUGCUGGGCAAGGGCCCAACAGCCUGACUUCAGGAACAUCCUUAUCAUCUUCUACUGAGCAGCAAGCUAUACUGUCCAGAGCCCUCCCUCCCA